rnacentral:lncRNA from 1 species
CUCCCGAGCAGCUGGGAUUACAGGCACGCACCGCAAUGCCCAGAGUGAGAGUUUCGACCAGGAGUGGAUACUGAGGAGAGCAAAGAUCACCUGGUGCUCAUCAAGCCGGACUUCCAGAGGCAAAGCUCCUUAACUGAAGAAUUCAGAAAUGAUCCAGUGCAGGACCCUGAGAAGCCCACAGGAGAAGAAGAAUCCCUAAAGUGAGAGAAACCUGGGCCCUUGAGUGACUGCAUGGAGAAGAGCCCCAUCAUUGACUCAUGUUAGACUGUGAC